UACCAAACAACCCUACAUAUUGUUAUGUC
rnacentral:piRNA from 1 species